rnacentral:misc_RNA from 1 species
UAAUAAGUGUUUUAUGGCACUUUUUAAGUCCAUAUCCACCUUGUGUGCAAUGUCAGUCGAUCUUCUUCAUGGAGAUCGACCAAACAUCAACCUUUAUCUUUUAACUCUUUGUCUGAAAAAUAUUAUGAACUAAACAAUUCAAAAUA